UACGGAGGAUGCAAGCGUUAUCCGGAAUGAUUGGGCGUAAAGCGUCCGCAGGUGGCAAUGUAAGUCUGCUGUUAAAGAGUCUAGCUCAACUAGAUAAAAGCAGUGGAAACUACAUAGCUAGAGUACGUUCGGGGCAGAGGGAAUUCCUGGUGUAGCGGUGAAAUGCGUAGAGAUCAGGAAGAACACCAGUGGCGAAGGCGCUCUGCUAGGCCGUAACUGACACUGAGGAACGAAAGCUAGGGGAGCGAAUGGG
rnacentral:rRNA from 1 species